UCCCUUGUAGCUCAGUUGGUAAAGAAUUUGUCUGUAAUGCAGGAGACCCAGGUUCAAUUCCUGGGUUGGGAA
rfam:Ovis aries breed Texel chromosome 2, whole genome shotgun sequence.